CACAAACACAGAAACAGGCACAACUGCUCCUUCAGGGCAUUUUCUCAUUCCCUGACUGGACUUUGGGCAGGCUCAGUUACUGUGAACCAGCACAGUGCGAGUUCAGGUAUGAACAGCGCCAAAGUCUCAUUCGUCAGAUAUGUGGGUGUGGAAACUACAAAGCGGUCAAAGGUCCCUUUUAAGUAAAGAAACCAGGAUGUGCACGCUGGAGUAGAAACCAGGUCACCGUUGCAUGUUUAUACAGAACAUCUUCGGAAUCCAAACACCUGCACAGGCUCAGCUACAGUCCAAGCGAUGGAAUGGCUGGAUCUCUAUUGAAGCGAUGAAGAAGUUUAAGGACAUUUUACUUUCGAUAAUGAAAGAUUUGAAUGUAAUUGGUCAUUUAGGAGAAAGAUUGCUGACCCAUUCAAACCUGGAGUGAAGAGGUCACAUGAAUCCUAACACAAGUCUGGUAUUUUCCCAACAUUUAUACACACAGUUCAUAUCUAAACACUAUACCACACAUAAUACUGUCUGCUACAAACCGUGCUGUGUGAAGUGGCUUCUCAAUAGCAACAGCCGAAUGCAUUAAAAGUUAAAGAUUGCGGGAAUGUCAAUUGAACAACGGGCACCUGUGUAAAUAGCAUGAAGUAAUCAGUGAUCAGUAAGUAAUCCAUAAGGUUCAGAGUGACACCUCUCAACCUCUCUGCCUUGUGAAAAGCCCCCAGCUGAUGGGAGGAAGGACUCCAUAUUUAUUAACUACACGUAUAUAAAGUUUCCUCUGUAUAAGAUCAUAAAACUAUACUGUGUAGUUUUUUUUCCUCCUCUACAUGAGUUUCAAAGCGUCUGCAGGGCUGUUCCCUCGUGGCUAAAGACCGGUCACCGACUGUGAGCGCUCUUUAAAUCUACAACGUCUAUGAAUUUAAAACAUAUUCAAUGCUGUGGGAGAAGCUGAACCCGCGAGAGGGAACGACAGAACCACACAGUGAGACGGCAG